GUGGCUGUCCUAAUGACAAAAAUCUUUAGUGAGCGAUUGCAAUAAUACAAAAAGAUAGAGCGUAAACUCUCAAGCAAAUAAGAAAAAAUUGGGAGAUGGGAUUUAAACAAAUGGAAGAGCAACAAAAAUGCUCAAUCACUAAAACCGGAAUUCUAGUAUUCAUCAAUCAUAAUAUAUGUAUUUUCCAUAUUUAGAAUAACAUACUUACAACACAAAGGUUCUCAAUAAAAAGAAGACAAAUUGUGCUCGUAAGAAACCAUAAAUCAUAUGAAGCCACUCGGAAUAAUGGAAAUAAUGCCAAGAUUUGGUAACAAUUGGGCCUUGGGAAAGAGCUCUAGCCAUCACCGGAUCAUCAGAUAAAAGUCCGUCACAGCCUCUAAUUAAAGCAAGAUAGAUAGAAGAAGGUGUGUUUAAAGUCCAUGCAAAGACUUGUUUACCUUGGGCAUGAACGAGAUCAACAAAAUCCUGAGAAUGAGGAAGUAAAAACAGAGCAACAGCCAUACUGACACCCUUUACUCUGGGAUGCAUAACAAAAUGUCUUUCAGCAUAAGCGAAGUUGAAUCCAAUAUGAUAUAACGGAAUUGAUGGGGCAUAUCGAUCACAAGCAGGGAUGAACCUAUGUGACCAUAAACAAAACGAUACUUUGUCUUUCCAAAAGUCUAAAUCAGAAUUAACCCGAAGCAUUGCAUCAACCAUUCUGGGAAUAAUUAACAAAUCGUUUACUGGCUUAAUGUCAACAAGUAGAUUGACGCCAGGAUGCUUGGUUAAUUCAUGCAAAAAUUGUUCAUAGGUAGGUAACGGCUCGUGAGGCUCUUGAAUGGUACGAAAAUGACCAUUAUCCAAUUCAUAAUCAAGAUCUCGAACAUCAACAUCAACACCGAAUACUCUGUUAAGAUUUCUAUCAUGCAAAAUGCAAACCACUUCAUCUUUAGUUAGUCGAACAUCUGUUUCAACGCAGUCAGCACCAGCCUUUACGGCUUGUUGAAAUGCUAGUAUAGUAUUUUCAGGAUACUUAGCUUUGUAUCUGUAAACAUAAGUUAAACAUUUGCUAAAUUGGAGAAGGAUUUUGACAAUUAAGGGUACAAAGUUGCAGAUAU